rnacentral:rRNA from 1 species
GACGAACGCUGGCGGCGUGCUUAACACAUGCAAGUCGAACGAUGAAGAAAAGAAUUGAAGCUUCGGCAGAAAUUCAUUUCGGAUUAGUGGCAGACGGGUGAGUAACGCGUGAGCAACCUACCUCUUACAAAGGGAUAGCCUCGGGAAACCGGGAUUAAUACCAUAUAACAUUGCGACGAAGCAUUUCGAUGCAAUCAAAGCUACGGCGGUAAGAGAUGGGCUCGCGUCCCAUUAACCAGAUGGUGAGGUAACGGCUCACCAUAGUAACGAUGGGUAACCGGCCUGAGAGGGUGAACGGUCACACUGGAACUGAGACACGGUCCAGACGCCUACGGGAGGCAGCAGUGGGGAAUAUUGCACAAUGGAGGGAACUCUGAUGCAGCGACGCCGCGUGAGUGAUGAAGGAAUUCGUUUCGUAAAACUCUGUUCUAUGGGAAGAAAAGGACUGUACCAUAGGAGAAAGCUCCGGCUAAAUACGUG